rnacentral:rRNA from 2 species
UGCAGUCGAACGAACUCUGGUAUUGAUUGGUGCUUGCAUCAUGAUUUACAUUUGAGUGAGUGGCGAACUGGUGAGUAACACGUGGGAAACCUGCCCAGAAGCGGGGGAUAACACCUGGAAACAGAUGCUAAUACCGCAUAACAACUUGGACCGCAUGGUCCGAGCUUGAAAGAUGGCUUCGGCUAUCACUUUUGGAUGGUCCCGCGGCGUAUUAGCUAGAUGGUGGGGUAACGGCUCACCAUGGCAAUGAUACGUAGCCGACCUGAGAGGGUAAUCGGCCACAUUGGGACUGAGACACGGCCCAAACUCCUACGGGAGGCAGCAGUAGGGAAUCUUCCACAAUGGACGAAAGUCUGAUGGAGCAACGCCGCGUGAGUGAAGAAGGGUUUCGGCUCGUAAAACUCUGUUGUUAAAGAAGAACAUAUCUGAGAGUAACUGUUCAGGUAUUGACGGUAUUUAACCAGAAAGCCACGGCUAACUACGUGCCAGCAGCCGCGGUAAUACGUAGGUGGCAAGCGUUGUCCGGAUUUAUUGGGCGUAAAGCGAGCGCAGGCGGUUUUUUAAGUCUGAUGUGAAAGCCUUCGGCUCAACCGAAGAAGUGCAUCGGAAACUGGGAAACUUGAGUGCAGAAGAGGACAGUGGAACUCCAUGUGUAGCGGUGAAAUGCGUAGAUAUAUGGAAGAACACCAGUGGCGAAGGCGGCUGUCUGGUCUGUAACUGACGCUGAGGCUCGAAAGUAUGGGUAGCAAACAGGAUUAGAUACCCUGGUAGUCCAUACCGUAAACGAUGAAUGCUAAGUGUUGGAGGGUUUCCGCCCUUCAGUGCUGCAGCUAACGCAUUAAGCAUUCCGCCUGGGGAGUACGGCCGCAAGGCUGAAACUCAAAGGAAUUGACGGGGGCCCGCACAAGCGGUGGAGCAUGUGGUUUAAUUCGAAGCUACGC